UUCUCCUGGCAGGCGGGGCGCCGCCAUGGAGGGCGAUACUCCCUCAGUGGAGGAACGGCGGCGGCUGCAGGAGGAGCUGAGCGAGUUCGUGGAGAGCUGCUGCCGGACGCUGGAGGAGGUGACGGCGUCCCUGGGCUGGAGCCUGGAUCGGCUGGACCCCGGGGAGGAGGGGACGGCAGAGGAUGAAAUUGUGAUAUGCCCUUAUGAUUCCAAUCAUCACAUGCCUAAAUCGUCUUUAGCAAAGCACAUGGUGUCUUGUCGACUGAGGAAGCUGGGCUACACCAAAGAAGAAGAGGAUAAAAUGUAUAAUUCUGAUUUUUUCUAUGAGAAUGCGAAGAUACCUUCAAUUACUUUGAAUAAGGACUCACAGUUCCAGAUAAUUAAACAAGCUAGAACUGCAGUUGGAAAAGAUGGUGAUUGUUAUAAUCAAAGGACUUACUCUUCAUUGCCUGUUGAAGUUCCUCUGAAUCACAAACGGUUUGUUUGUGAUCUAACCCAAGCUGAUCGUCUGGCCCUCUAUGAUUUUGUAAUCGAGGAGACAAAGAAAAAGCGCUCUGAUUCUCACAUUAUUGAAAAUGACAGUGAUCUCUUUGUAGACUUGGCUGCCAAAGUUAAUCAAGAUAAUAGUCGAAAAAGUCCAAAAUCUUACCUUGAAAUACUGGCAGAAGUGAGAGAUUAUAAAAGAAGACGCCAGUCCUAUAGAGCUAAGAAUGUUCACAUAACUAAGAAAUCAUAUACUGAAGUGAUUCGGGAUGUGAUUAAUGUGCACAUGGAAGAACUCAGUAGUCAAUGGCAAGAAGAGCAGGAAAAAGCGGAGGAUGAUGCUGAGAAGAAUGAAGAAAGGCGGUCAGCUUCAGUAGAUUCCCGACAGUCUGGUGGAAGCUAUUUGGAUGCUGAGUGCUCACGACAUAGGAGAGAUCGGAGUAGGAGCCCACAUAAACGAAAAAGAAAUAAAGAUAAGGAUAAAAACUGGGACUCAAGAAGAAGGAAAGAGAGGUGAUUCUGAUGAAGCAGGCUGCUCCCAGUUCACAGACUAGCGUUGGAGAACUACUGCCUCGAUCCGUUGGCUUAAAGAAAUCAGUUUCUGACACAGAGCUUCAGAAACCCUUGGAAUUUCCUGAGCAGCAGCAGUGUCUUUGUUAUGCUGAUGAGCCAUAAGAACCUUAAGGAAAAGGGCAGAGGGAGAUUCUCCCUCUCUCCCAACAAGAGGACAUGGAAGCUCUCUGUCCCCCUGCUGUCCUAGACCUCCCCCUGUGCAUCUCUUCAGCUGGCUGUUCCUGAGUUGUAUCCUUUAUAAUAAACUGUACUCACAAGUAAAGUUUUAAGUGAGCUCUGUGAGUCAUUCUAGCAAAUUACUGAACCUGAGGGGGGUUGUGGGAGCCCCCAAAUGUAUAGCCGGUUGAUCAGCAGUGCAGGUGGCCUGGGGACCCUACUUGUGGCUGGCAUCUGAAGUGAGGGGACUCUUGUGGUGGAAGGCUGAGUCCUUAAGCCUGUGGAGUGUGAUGCUAACUCCAGGUAGUUAGUGUCAGAAUUGUGUUGCAGGACACCCAGCGGUGUCAGAGAGUUGGUGUCAGAACACCGUUAGCCUAGAAUGAAUAUGAAGUAUAAUAUCCUAUAUGGACUUCUCACCCUUUACGGCUUAUUACCAUGGAGCAAAAUAAUGAUUAUAUUUGUAAUUGAAUAUGUCAUCUUAUAUUUAUUUAAUAUACAAUUGUUUGAUUAUAGUCCUAGACUCUGUUCAUGGAUACCUAACCUUCACAGUUUGUUGCUCACUUUUUUGGUCAUCUGCUCUAUUCACAUGGUACAUUCAUGACUCAAAAAAGAACAAGCAAAUAAAACCGAGGGAGUACUUUUUUUGUUUUUGCUUUUUAAAAAAAUUUCAUUAAAUCAUCAGAUAUAAAUGCAAAGUUAUUCAUUGAUAACUGAAUGAUGGCAGAUGGCAAUGUAGAACCAGAACCUAGAAAUGCUCAGCUAAAGGCCCAUAUUCUGUUGAUUUAAGGAGGAAAGUGUCUAUGGUAGAGACUAGAUGUGCUCAUCAUGUUUGAUUUUUCUCUACUUUCUGAGCAUGUGGGAAGACUUCCUGGAUCUCUAGCAAUUAUGUUGGGACCAUAUGACUAGUUUUGGCCACUGGGCUGUGAGCAGAAGGAACAAAUGUCAUUUCCAAUCAGAGGCACUUAUGAGCAAAUGUUAAUACUCCAAGUCACAUCAAACCCUGAAGCUGUGUUGAUAUAGUAGCAUCACGAGAUGGUGGAGCCUCUGUCAGCCUGGGUUCCUGAGUGAUGCAGAGCCUUCUGCCGACCCACGUUGGAUGUGUAAUGUGAAGAAGAGCUAAAUUUUUGUUAUGUUAAGCUAUUAAUAGUUCAGGAUUAAUUUGUUACCACAGCACAUCCUAGGUUAUCCUAAGUAGUGACUUUGGGUACAUUUAAUAUGGCACUAAAUACCUGUCUUGGGCUGGGCUCUUGAAUGAAUCCAGAUGACUUCUGAGAUUCUUGGUGGAAGAUCAGAGCUGGUGUAAAAGAACAAAGAGGCAAAUCCUAUGACAUGUUUAUAUUAGAAAUAAGGAGCACUGCUUAACCAGGGUUUCAUGUUGGUUUUUCACGCAGCAACUGGGUAUUCGAGAUGCAAGGACCCGUAGAGAUCAUUCAGCUCACCAGCAGACACCACUGGUUGCAUAUCUGAAUCCAUUUCUCACUCUUUCUUGCUUAAGGAGCCCAUGUGCUCAGGGGAAAGGCCUCCCUGGGCUCAAAGAUAAAUCCUCAUUGGUCUAACUAAUCAUGUGAUCUCAUCCCCCUUGCCAGUGAUUGGUUUGGGAGUGGCCAUGUGACACAGUUCUGGCCAAUGCUAUGUGAGAUUCAGUCUCCUGGGAGGCCUCGUGGGAAAGGCUUUCCUUGCUCUUAAAAACAGAUAUUUUAGAAAAGAAACAUCCACUUUUGUACCUUGCACAUGGCUGAUGCUUGGAACUUUGGUAGCCCUUUGUGAUCAUAAGUGGAAUCAGCAUAAGAAGGUGAACCAACACGCUGGAGACUGCAGCAGGGGAGGACUUCGGUUCCUGAUGACGGUGUUGAGACUCUGAAUGAAGCAACCCUGGAAGGGCCCCAUAGCUGGACUUCUUAACAUGGGAGACAUCCGGCCCAGUUGGAGAGCCACAGAACACAACAGGCUUCAGGGAAGCUCGGAUCAUGGGGACCUUCUGGGGCACCCACUGGCUAUGAGAACUUCCACUGUGGUGACCCACUGCUAUCUUGCUUCAGCAAGCACUACUGAGAUCAACAAUGAUUUCUGCAUUGCCAAAUCCAAAGGACGCUUGGAAUCUUUAAAUUACUGGGCCUCUGUGCUAUGUGUAACUAUCUAUCAAACCCACUGUUAUGGGCUGAAUUGUGUCCCUUCAAAUUCAUAUGGAGGUACUAACCCCUAGCGCUUCAAAUGUGACUGUAUUUAUUUGGAGAUAGGGCCUUUGAAGAGGUAAUUAAGUUAAAAUGAGGUUAUUAGGGUGGACCCUAAUUCGAUAUGGCUAGUGUCUUUUUUUUUUUUGAGGAAGA